UUCAAUUCAUACGUUUUAAUAUGGAUCAAGAAACGACAAGUUUGCUCGAACAAAUCGCUAGAGUGGUCAAAGAAUGCGAGCAGAUAUUGGAAGGAACUGGCAUUGUAGAAGAUGAAGAAAGAUAUAGAUAUACUCUAUUUUACUGGAAAUGGAAAUGAAAACAAGCCUUUGAAAGUCGACAGUGAAGAUCCAAAGCAUUUUGGGGAAAAUUAGUUCGAAAUCUUCCAAUCAUCCUGAUUGACCAGGAAGGUAUUUACAUUGUUAUUGAAAAACAUAUUUUGAU